UUAUCGGAGAGUUUGAUCCUGGCUCAGGACGAACGCUGGCGGCGUGCCUAAUACAUGCAAGUCGAGCGGACAGAUGGGAGCUUGCUCCCUGAUGUUAGCGGCGGACGGGUGAGUAACACGU
rnacentral:rRNA from 1 species